ACUCAAAGGAAUAGACGGGGGCCCGCACAAGCAGCGGAGCAUGUGGUUUAAUUCGAAGCAACGCGAAGAACCUUACCAGGCCUUGACAUCCCAUGCAAUCCAUAGAGAUAUGGAGUUCUUCGGACAUGGAGACAGGUGGUGCAUGGUUGUCGUCAGCUCGUGUCGUGAGAUGUUGGGUUAAGUCCCGCAACGAGCGCAACCCUUACGGUCAGUUACCAGCAGUAAGAUGGGGACUCUGACAGGACAGCCGAGGUCAACUCGGAGGAAGGUGGGGACGACGUCAAAUCAUCAUGCCCCUUACGGCCUGGGCUACACACGUGCUACAAUGGCCGUUAACAAAGAGAAGCAAGAGCGCAAGCUGGAGCAAAACUCAUAAAAGCGGUCUCAGUUCGGAUCGUGGGCUGCAACCCGCCCACGUGAAGUCGGAGUUGCUAGUAAUCGCGAAUCAGCAUGUCGCGGUGAAUACGUUCCCGGGCCUUGUACACACCGCCCGU
rnacentral:rRNA from 1 species